rnacentral:rRNA from 1 species
UACAGAGACCUCAAGUGUUAUCCGGAUUUAUUGGGCGUAAAGCGUCCGCAGAUGGUUUGGCGGGUAAGGGGUUAAAACCUAGUGCUUAACAUUAGGAUGGCCUUUUAAACUACUAAACUAGAGGAUGGAAGAGGUAAGCGGAAUUGCAGGUGUAGUCGUAAUAAGCGUUGAUAUCUGCAAGAACACCAAAGGCGAAGGCAGCUUACUGGUACAUUCCUGACAUUCAUGGACGAAAGCGUGGGGAGCGAACAGG